AUGCACGCUGGCGGCGUGCCUAAUACAUGCAAGUCGAGCGAACAGACGAGGAGCUUGCUCCUCUGACGUUAGCGGCGGACGGGUGAGUAACACGUGGAUAACCUACCUAUAAGACUGGGAUAACUUCGGGAAACCGGAGCUAAUACCGGAUAAUAUAUUGAACCGCAUGGUUCAAUAGUGAAAGACGGUUUUGCUGUCACUUAUAGAUGGAUCCGCGCCGCAUUAGCUAGUUGGUAAGGUAACGGCUUACCAAGGCAACGAUGCGUAGCCGACCUGAGAGGGUGAUCGGCCACACUGGAACUGAGACACGGUCCAGACUCCUACGGGAGGCAGCAGUAGGGAAUCUUCCGCAAUGGGCGAAAGCCUGACGGAGCGACGCCGCGUGAGUGAUGAAGGUCUUCGGAUCGUAAAACUCUGUUAUUAGGGAAGAACAAAUGUGUAAGUAACUAUGCACGUCUUGACGGUACCUAAUCAGAAAGCCACGGCUAACUACGUG
rnacentral:rRNA from 1 species